UCAAUCCUUAACUACUGCUCGGCGGUUAAUUCACCGCAAAGCUUAUAUUUUCUGUACGUUCAUAAGAAAAAACAGAACGAAGGGAAAGGCCAUGGCGCGUUUAGCCUCCGACUUCAUCGGCCUUUACACAUUGCGAUUGUGCCCAUCUCUUCAACUUUCCCAAUCAUCGGUUCUCUCCCCAACCUCUCUUCGAUCUCUGGGCAGAAAUAACGCCUCUCGAAGGUUAGCUUGUAUGACGAAGCCAGACCCAUCUGAAACUCAGAAGUCGGAAGAGCUGCCUGUUGAACCUGAUUCAGUCAAGAAUAAUGACAGCCAAGCUGCCUCGUCUUCCCAGAGUGCUGGAUUCUCUGAAGUUCCAAACAAAAAUUUCAACAGACAGAUAGCUUUGGCUUCUACAAUUGUAGCUGUGGGGCUUUUCUUGUCAACCAGGCUUGAUUUUGGUGUUUCCUUGAAGGACUUAUCGGUGGCAGCCAUACCCUAUGAAGAGGCUCUAUCAAAUGGGAGGCCCACCGUUGUAGAGUUCUAUGCAGAUUGGUGUGAAGUAUGUAGAGAACUUGCUCCAGAUGUCUAUAAAGUUGAGCAGCAGUACAAGGGCCGUGUGAAUUUUGUUAUGUUGAACGUUGACAACACAAAGUGGGAGCAGGAGCUUGAUGAGUUUGGUGUUGAGGGUAUCCCACAUUUCGCAUUUCUGGACAGAGAUGGGAAUGAGGAGGGGAACGUUGUGGGGAGGCUUCCAAGACAGUAUUUGAAUGAGAAUGUGGAUGCCCUCGCACGGGGAGAAGCUUCAAUACCUCAUGCUCGGGUUGUGGGACCAUACUCCAGUGCUGAGGCAAGGAAGGUGCACCAAGUUGCUGAUCCUAGAAGCCAUGGUUAGAUGUUACGCCCAGUUGGUAGUAUUACCCUCAUUGGCAUCAUGAAUAUUUAUACAGGCCAGAGUUUCCUUUUGUGGGAAAGGUUCCGGUAUUUGACAAUUUUGUCAUUGAUGGGCUGGCCAACAUAAGAUAAACCAGGAUCUAU